AGGUGGUGUAUUUGUGUGUAAGGUCCUAGUCUAUGACAGGUGUUGUAUUUGUAUGUAAGGUCCUAGUCUAUGACAGGUUUUGUAUUUAUGUGUAAGGUCCUAGUCUAUGACAGGGGGUGUAUUUAUGUGUUAGAUCCUAGUCUAUGACAGGUGGUGUAUUUAUGUGUAAGGUCCUUGUCUAUGACAGGUGGUGUAUUUAUGUGUAAGGUCCUUGUCUAUGACAGGUGGUGUAUUUGUGUGUAAGGUCCUAGUCUGUGACCGGUGGUGUAUUUAUGUGUAAGGUCCUUGUCUAUGACAGGUGUUGUAUUUUUAUGUAAGGUCAUGUUUUAUGACAGGUGGUGUAUCUAUGUGUAAGGUCCUAGUCUAUGAGAGAUGGUGUUUUCGUGUGUAAGGUCGUAGUUUAUGACAGAUAGUAAGGUCCUAGUCAAUGACAGGUGGUGUAUUCGUGUGUAAGGUCAUAGUCUUUCACAGAUGUUGUAUUUGUAUGUAAGGCUAUAGUCUAUGACAGGUGUUGUAUUUAUGUGUAAUAAACUUCAAAAUAGCAAUGCUGUUAUAAAAAUAACAGUACUAUGUAGGAGUCAAAAAUGACUUGCCGGCGUUCUAUAGUUCCAAUCCAGCUGAACAAUUCUAUACCAGAUGUUAUGUCCUUAACUGUUUUAUUAUGUGGUUAUAUAACUUAUGUUUACAAUGUGUGUCUUCAUAUUUUGUUUUGCGGUCAACUUGUAAAUAAAAUGUAACACGUUGAGAGUUAACAUGUGACAGGUGCUGUGUUUUGUGCCUUUUAAGGGUGUCUUGUUUUAUUAGAGGUACAUUAUUCUUUAGUUUUUGCACGAGUUCGGUCUUGUUUGGGAAAUGUCUUGUAUUGUGAUGAUUUUAACGGGAUCGAUGUUGAAAGUUAUUGUUUUGUUUUGUAAUUAUUAAACGAAAUUGGUAUUGUGAGUUAGUGUUUUGUUAUGUGAUCAUUUUAACGAAAUAAGUAUUAUGAGUUAAUAUUUGUUUUGUAUUCAUUUUUAAAGAAAUGGGUACUGUAAGUCAGUGUUUAGUUAUGUAAUUAUUUUAACGAAAUAGGUAUUGUGAGUUAGUGUUUUGUUAUGUGAUUAUUACAACUUGAUCGGUAAUUUUGGGUUAGUGUUUGUUUAGUGAUAUUUUAAUGAGAUUGGUACUGUUACUUAGUGUUCUGCUUUGUGGUUAAGCUAACAGGGCGUGUAAGGUUGUAUUUUCUGUGAUAAGUCUCGUGGUUAAGCUUACAG